UAAAACUUUACGUUCUGGUAUUUAUUUUUUUAAAUAUUAUACUUGAAAUGAAUUAGUGGAGCAAUAUGAAACAGAACACAAUGGGUUUAUCAAGGUUAGAAACCGAGCAAGAAAAUCCGUAAAUGAUAACUUCAGUGUCAAACAAAUGGAAACAGUAAUAAAUGAAAAGAACUGAGAUUUAUAAAUGAUGGUGACAAAUUCUGAAAUUGAAUCAAUGGCUAUUGAACUAAAAGAGAAGAAUCAACAACAAAUACCUAAAUACCCAG